GUUUAGUUUAUUGCCACAGAUGUUUGCGGUCCGAGUACUUACCGAUCCCAAACCGGGGUUUAUUGGCAUGACAUUUUCAAAUCACCCUACUGUUCAUAGAUGUAGACAUUGAUCAAAUACUUGAGUGGAUGGAGCGAUGAGAGAGAGGUAGUGUUAUAAACACAGAGCGAUCGAGAACGCAAUAAUACAAACACACGAGAUCAGUGGCAAGAAACCCGCUAGCUUGCUAUGAGGUAUUGGAAUGCGGCAGUAGUGGAUUUUGUCAUUUAUUUUCAUACUUUUGGGUUAAAAACGAAAAAAAAUUGUUCAUAGUAACUUUGUUUAGUCUAUUUAUUAUUUUAGCCAAAGCAACUUCGCUCUAAUAAUAUGAAGCUUACUCCUCAAGUCCUCAAGUCGGGAUUUAGUGACGAUUCCGACAAAAAAAUUGAAAAGGUUUUGGACUUUUAUAGCAGAAUAAGUUGGUCUAUCUAGUGGAGAAAUCGUUUUUUUGUGAAUUUUGUUAAUGUAGUUUAUUAUUUUUAAAUGUAGUGUUAUAGUUUAUAAUUUAUUAUGUCAGGAUUAUAGAAUAAUUAAACGACGAUUUUCUCAA